rnacentral:miRNA from 1 species
AUUUGACUCAAGAUUGCACCCA